UACGUAGGGUGCAAGCGUUAUCCGGAAUUAUUGGGCGUAAAGAGCUCGUAGGCGGUUUGUCGCGUCUGCUGUGAAAACUGGAGGCUCAACCUCCAGCCUGCAGUGGGUACGGGCAGACUAGAGUGCGGUAGGGGAGAUUGGAAUUCCUGGUGUAGCGGUGGAAUGCGCAGAGUAUCAGGAGGAACACCGAUGGCGAAGGCAGCAUCUCUGGGCCAGUAACUGGACGCUGAGGAGCGAAAGCAUUGGGGAGCGAACAGG
rnacentral:rRNA from 1 species